GGCAACAGUGAUGAAAAUAUACACAGAAUCUUGAUAGCUGCGAAAAUGAUCGCACAAAAAGAACAUCUAAGGGGCUGAGUUGUC